GUUUUCAUCUGUAGCAUUUCCUUCACUUCCCAUUUUGAAACUUCCAUAUCUGGCCAUUUAUUGCACAGUAUGUCUGGUAUUGUCUGUUGGGCUAUUUCGAUAUACUUGGUCAGGCCUUUUAGCUGUUAAGGUUUGCAGGGUUAGUUUUAGAGGAAGAAUAUCUGAACUUUAAUGAAGUAGCAAAUACUUACGGUCUUAUGGAGGUCAACGCGAUUCAUGGUAACACCAAAGGAGUCUAGGACCUGUAUGACGCGUUUGGGGGCAUUGAUACUUGCC
rnacentral:lncRNA from 1 species